GCAGCCGUGGCCCACUGGUUAGCACUCUGGACUUGUAACCGGAGAGUUGCUGGUUCGAGCCCUGACCAGUGGGCUGCG
rnacentral:tRNA from 1 species